rnacentral:RNase_P_RNA from 1 species
AGUCGCUGGCAAUAGCUAGAGGAAAGUCCAUGCUCGCACGAUCUGCGAUGAUCGUAGUGUUUGUGCUAGAUGAAUCAAUAAGUCUAGGCAGUUGAAGCCAUUCAAUUGACGGCAACUUCAAUCCUAAGGGAAACUAAGGAAGCGAGUUUGAAAGUGCCACAGAGACGAGUUCGAAUGGAAACAUCCGAGGUGGAACGGGUAAACCCCACAAGCGAGAAACCCAAAUUUGGUAGGGGAGUCGGCCAGAAUGAAUCAAAAGGAUGGCCGGAUAUCGAAAGAUAUAGAUAAAUGACUGCAUAUACAGAACAUGGCUUAU